ACAUCAGUGGUUUAGUGGUAUAAAUCCACCGUUGCCAUCGAUGAUGGGCCCCGUGUUCGCUUCACGGCUGAUGCC
rnacentral:tRNA from 1 species